rnacentral:sRNA from 1 species
AGCGCUACCUGUACUGUCGCGCCAUGGACCGCACCUCCUACGCGGUGGAGACCGGCCACCGGCCCGGCCUGAAGAAAUCCAGGAUGUCCUGGCCCUCCUCGUUCCAGGGACUCAGGCGUUUUGAUGUGGACAAUGGCACAUCUGCGGGACGGAGUCCCUUGGAUCCCAUGACCAGCCCAGGAUCUGGGCUAAUUCUCCAAGCAAAUUUUGUCCACAGUCAACGCCGGGAGUCCUUCCUGUAUCGAUCCGACAGCGAUUAUGACCUCUCUCCAAAGUCUAUGUCCCGGAACUCCUCCAUUGCCAGUGAUAUACACGGAGAUGACUUGAUUGUGACUCCAUUUGCUCAGGUCUUGGCCAGUCUGCGAACUGUACGAAACAACUUUGCUGCAUUAACUAAUUUGCAAGAUCGAGCACCUAGCAAAAGAUCACCCAUGUGCAACCAGCCAUCCAUCAACAAAGCCACCAUAACAGUUUAAAAGGAUGCUUAAUCGGGAGCUCACCCAUCUCUCUGA